AACUUUCCCCUUUUCACAAUCUGACCAAGUCACCAGCGAUCCAUAGUACUGAUCUUCCUUGGCCUCCCUGCCCCUGUCUUGUACUCAGUCCCAACUCCUGACUGUAUAUUCUUCAAAGUUCU